rnacentral:rRNA from 1 species
UACGGAGGGUGCAAGCGUUAUCCGGAUUCACUGGGUUUAAAGGGUGCGUAGGCGGGCAGGUAAGUCAGUGGUGAAAUCCUAGAGCUUAACUCUAGAACUGCCAUUGAUACUAUCUGUCUUGAAUAUUGUGAGGUAAGCGGAAUAUGUCAUGUAGUGGUGAAAUGCUUAGAUAUGACAUAGAACACCUAUUGCGAAGGCAGCUUACUACGCAUAUAUUGACGCUGAGGCACGAAAGCGUGGGGAUCAAACAGG